rnacentral:rRNA from 1 species
UAGCGGCAGGCUUUAAUACAUGCAAGUCGUGGGGCAGCAUGAGUAGCAAUACUUGAUGGCGACCGGCAAACGGGUGAGGAACACGUACACAACCUUCCUUCAAGCGGGGAAUAGCCCAGAGAAAUUUGGAUUAAUACCCCAUAAUAUAUUUGAUAAGGCAUCUUAUUAAUAUUAAAGCUUCGGCACUUGAUGAUGGGUGUGCGGCUGAUUAGAUAGUUGGCGGGGUAACGGCCCACCAAGUCUACGAUCAGUAGCUGAUGUGAGAGCAUGAUCAGCCACACGGGCACUGAGACACGGGCCCGACUCCUACGGGAGGCAGCAGUAAGGAAUAUUGGACAAUGGACGAAAGUCUGAUCCAGCCAUGCCGCGUGAAGGAUUAAGGUCCUCUGGAUUGUAAACUUCUUUUAUAUGGGACGAAAAAGGGCAUUCUUGUUCACUUGACGGUACCAUAUGAAUAAGCACCGGCUAACUCCGUG